rnacentral:rRNA from 1 species
UACGGAAGGGGCAAGCGUUGUUCGGAUUUAUUGGGCGUAAAGGGCGUGUAGGCGGCUUGUUAAGUCUGGAGUGAAAAUCCGGGGCUCAACCCCGGAACUGCUUCGGAUACUGGCGAGCUUGAGUGCUCUAGAGGGCAGUGGAAUUCCCGGUGUAGCAGUGAAAUGCGUAGAGAUCGGGAGGAACACCAGUGGCGAAGGCGACUGCCUGGGGAGUAACUGACGCUGAGGCGCGAAAGCUGGGGGAGCAAACGGGG